GACGUAGGGGGCGAGCGUUGUCCGGAUUUAUUGGGCGUAAAGCGCGCGUAGGCGGCCCGUUAAGUCGGAUGUGAAAACCCGGGGCUCAACCCCGGGCCUGCAUUCGAUACUGGCGGGCUCGAGGCAGGCAGGGGAGAGUGGAAUUCCUGGUGUAGCGGUGAAAUGCGCAGAUAUCAGGAGGAACACCGGUGGCGAAGGCGGCUCUCUGGGCCUGUCCUGACGCUCAGGCGCGAAAGCUAGGGGAGCAAACAGG
rnacentral:rRNA from 1 species